rnacentral:pre_miRNA from 1 species
UGCUGAGAUUUCGUCACAUACCAGGCCACAAGGGCUGAUGAGACUCUCA